ensembl:ncRNA C24A8.7 ncRNA
GGAAUCUCUGGUGAGAAGAGAGAGAGAGAGAGAGAGAGAGAGAGAGAGAGAGAGAGAGAGAGAAGAUGGUGGGUGUGUCCUUGAAGGGAGAAGAACUACGGUGCUCUCGGAGCAGUGAUUGAGAAAUACCUCGUGCUCCGGGGGCCGACACAUACGCCGGUGGGAAACCGAAAUAUUCAUACUUCUGCACUCAGAUCGCCCGUUUUCCUUCAACCUCGUCGGCAACAUUUUUGAUGAUUGCAAUAAUAAUGAUCCUAAAUGAUAGAGAAGAGGAAAAUGAGAA